UGAGGGAUAUUGGUCAAUGGGCGCAAGCCUGAACCAGCGACGCCGCGUGGGUGAAGAAGGUCUUCGGAUCGUAAAGCCCUUUUCCCACUGAAGAGGAAGGACGGUAGGUGGGGAAGAAGUCUCGGCUAACUACGUGCAAGCAGCCGCGGUAAAACGUAGGAGACAAGCGUUAUCCGGAGUUACUGGGCGUAAAGGGCGUGCAGGUGGCGUCUUAAGUCUGUUGUGAAAGCGCCUGGCUUAACCGGGCGAGGCCAAUGGAGACUGAGAGGCUGGAGGAUGGCGGAGGGGUGUGGAAUUGCGGGGGUAGUGGUGAAAUGCGUAGAGGUCCGGAGGAACACCAGAGGCGAAGGCGGCACUCUAAGCCGUACCUGACACUGAGACGCGACAGCACGGGGAGCAAACG
rnacentral:rRNA from 1 species